GUCUACAGCCAUGCCACCCUGAACAAGCCCGGUCCCAUCUGAUCACGGAAACUAAGCAGGGUUGGGCUUGGUUGAUAUUUGGAUGGAAGACCACCUAGAAAGACUAGGUGCUCUAGGCA
rnacentral:rRNA from 1 species